rnacentral:rRNA from 1 species
GGAGUGAAGCGGCAAAAGCUCAAAUUUGAAAUCUGGCACCUUCGGUGUCCGAGUUGUAAUUUGAAGAUUGUAACCUUGGGGUUGGCUCUUGUCUAUGUUUCUUGGAACAGGACGUCACAGAGGGUGAGAAUCCCGUGCGAUGAGAUGCCCAAUCCUAUGUAAGGUGCUUUCGAAGAGUCGAGUUGUUUGGGAAUGCAGCUCUAAGUGGGUGGUAAAUUCCAUCUAAAGCUAAAUAUUGGCGAGAGACCGAUAGCGAACAAGUACAGUGAUGGAAAGAUGAAAAGAACUUUGAAAAGAGAGUGAAAAAGUACGUGAAAUUGUUGAAAGGGAAGGGUUUGAGAUCAGACUCGAUAUUUUGUGAGCCUUGCCUUCGUGGCGGGGUGACCCGCAGCUUAUCGGGCCAGCAUCGGUUUGGGCGGUAGGAUAAUGGCGUAGGAAUGUGACUUUGCUUCGGUGAAGUGUUAUAGCCUGCGUUGAUGCUGCCUGCCUAGACCGAGGACUGCGAUUUUAUCAAGGAUGCUGGCAUAAUGAUCCCAAACCGCCCGUCUUGAAACACGG